CUAACGCUGGCAGUGCGUCUUAAGCAUGCAAGUCAAACGGGAUGUAGCAAUACAUCUAGUGGCGAACGGGUGAGUAACGCGUGGAUGAUCUACCUACGAGAUGGGGAUAACUAUUAGAAAUAGUAGCUAAUACCGAAUAAAGUCAAUUAAUUUGUUAAUUGAUGAAAGGAAGCCUUUAAAGCUUCGCUUGUAGAUGAGUCUGCGUCUUAUUAGUUAGUUGGUAGGGUAAAUGCCUACCAAGGCGAUGAUAAGUAACCGGCCUGAGAGGGUGAACGGUCACACUGGAACUGAGAUACGGUCCAGACUCCUACGGGAGGCAGCAGCUAAGAAUCUUCCGCAAUGGGCGAAAGCCUGACGGAGCGACACUGCGUGAAUGAAGAAGGUCGAAAGAUUGUAAAAUUCUUUUAUAAAUGAGGAAUAAGCUUUGUAGGAAAUGACGAAGUGAUGACGUUAAUUUAUGAAUAAGCCCCGGCUAAUUACGUGCCAGCAGCCGCGGUAAUACGUAAGGGGCGAGCGUUGUUCGGGAUUAUUGGGCGUAAAGGGUGAGUAGGCGGAUAUAUAAGUCUAUGCAUAAAAUACCACAGCUCAACUGUGGAACUAUGUUGGAAACUAUAUGUCUAGAGUCUGAUAGAGGAAGUUAGAAUUUCUGGUGUAAGGGUGGAAUCUGUUGAUAUCAGAAAGAAUACCGGAGGCGAAGGCGAACUUCUGGGUCAAGACUGACGCU
rnacentral:rRNA from 1 species